AGCUUUGCGCAGUGGCAGUAUUGUAGCCAAUGAGGUUUAUCCGAGGCGCCAUUAUUGCUAAUUGAAAAAUUGCUGUAGAUUUUAGGUUUGUAGUGUAUCGUUAGAGAAUGCUUUCUGUAUUCCUGGCAUUGUAUUAGACCAGG
ensembl:snRNA U4 U4 spliceosomal RNA